rnacentral:lncRNA from 1 species
CUGUUCCUCUCUCCCUAAACCCCAUCUGAAGAAGAAGCAGAAGAAAAAUCUCGCCUCGCGGGUAGCAAUGGCGGCAAUCGGAGGCCAGUCCCUCGCGAUCUCGCUCGUGGCCGUGGUCGCCGCCGCCUUCCUGGCAGUUGGAGCCGUCGCAGCCGACGCACCGGCCCCCAGCCCGACGUCCGCCGCCGGCGCCCUCAUCCCGAAUCUCGCCGUCGCCGUUCUCGCCUCGUCCGUCGUCCUCCUCCUCCUCGGAUCCGUCCGUCACUGAGUGAUCCUGGGCGUAGACUAGUCAUUCCAGGGUGGAAUUGGGUCGUCUUUAGGGUUUCUUUCAAUAAGGGUGGUGGUGAUGGCGAUCGAUGAGUUUUUUUAACGCUUAGUAUGGGGUCUCUAGUGCGUGUGUGUGUAGAUAUGAUAUGCUUUGGCUGCAGAGAUUGAUGUGUUAUUAAUAGUUCUGUUUGUCUUUCUUUAGUUCAUGUUCAUGAUUUGUUGGUGAGAUUUUGUGGUGUGUGAUGGAUGGAUUGAUCUAUGGUUGAUGCAACCGAUGUCUGAGAUUAUUCUGGUGCCAUAAAUCUCCAAGCUUCCACUCUUUGUGAGGCCAGAGUGGAUCGAUGGGUCAAAAACACAACUUUGGGUUCCCAUCUUCCGAUCGAGAAAGCGAGUUCAUCGAUCAGCGUGCUGUGUCAUCGUACCUGUGCGCCGACGAGAGGGACCCGAGAUUUGUGCCUCUUUACCAACAAAGCAUGUGGUGGUGGCCCGAUGCCCUCAGGAGGAGGAUGACGAUCGAGGCAUAGCAUUUGGAAUCGAAGAUGCCGCUUCUUCAGUUACUUGAGCGGCUCAUCUUUGGGCAAAAGGGGAGAAGCAUCCUCGCUGUAAUAAAAAGAGAAUUGUUCUUGUCAUGACUUCUCAGUGACUCUUUACGUAAGUGCGUGAAUCUAUCUAUCUUUAACUCCAACUCCCCAACUUUCUCAUAUUUCCAGGUUGUAAACCAAAAGCAUAUUUUCAUAUUAGAUGUAUUUAUUUAUAUUAGAACAACUGUCAAGUGAGUCCCAACCACAAACCUUUAGGCAAAGGGUCGCAUCGCCGAAGUGCCACACUCACCUAUUCUUUUACUUAAAUAAACCCGAAUGCCAGAGGAAAGAAGGGUCCAUCACAUGAAUCCCUGACAGACACUUCCUCUUCCAUAUAUCUUUCUUAUUACGCUUCUUUGUCUUCCAUGUAGUUUUGUCAUCACACCCAGUUGGAGACAUGGCCUGUUAGAGGUCACCGAAACAGAACUUUCUGGUUCCCGUUGGACGUCGAGGAAGAUGGCUCUGUCCAAACUGCAGAGGAUGGAAGGCACUGACGAUGACACUUCACCAGCCAGGCUUCUUUUUUUAUCUUUGUGACGGGGACCUUUAACGCGUCAAAUUCAUAUUUGGGGAAGGAAUCUAAAUAGAAGCAGAAAGAUGAGGUGCCAAGACUUACUUUGCAUGCUAUAUAUGUGUAUGAACAUAUACUUAAACCAAGUCUUAUUAAACAUGCAAUGGGGUUGAGGGAAUGAAGAUGAUAAAUGUGUUAUUGUAGGCUUGUCGUAUGUGCUUGAUACAGAAAAGAUGAAUGCUUCCAUGACCACUACUUUUGACAGAGAGUAAAUACCUCGAGUGAAUCAUUUACAAAAAAAGGCAUCUCACGAACUCUGGAGUCUCAAUCUGACACAGAUUUCUCCAGCUACUGUCACUCUGGUCACAUUUCGAACCCACGGCCAGGCAUUAGUGACAUGAUUGGGUCAGGAACUAAAGCCUCUGUGGAGAGAAGACCAGCUGUUUGAGGGAAACCUCAGGCAAGCUUGAGCAGAAACCUCGGCCAUGGUUUCCUCCCUGAUGCCUGCAUUGCAGAUGUUUGCUAGGGACCUCAUGUGUUUCAUUCCAUACUGAGAUAAAGACCCACAGUAUGUUUCGAAGGCCCGUACCUACAACAACAAAAAGCAACGACAGCAUUGAAAUCAAAUGAUAAGUUAUGAUCUAGUCUAGAGAAUAUUCAACGAGAUCCAAGUUCUUUUUUAACAUCAACCAAUCGUUGAAACCGGUCUUUCGAGCGCCAAUCCUCGGAUUUCAUCAUCACAUACAUAUUUAGAGGAAGCAUUGACCUAGAAUGCAGUAUCUCACAGUACUCCAAGAAACUGAAUUGCCCUAGUAACAUAUCGAUCGACCAAAGAUUUAGAUAUGGUUUCUGUGAUGAUUCUUAGAAAAGACAAACAUAAGAGAUGGUUAUGAAGAGGCAAUUAAGAUUGAAACCAUGAGAAAAAGCUGGAAUAAUUGGGAUGUGCAAUUAGUCAUAGCAAUUUUCCUAUCACAAUUGCUGUCAGCCAGGAAUAGAGCUGCAACCUCAAAACAAUUUAGAAAUCAACUGUAUAUGUAUCAUGCUAGAGUACAAUUUUACAUGAAGUGACGAGGUGCCUAAUGUAGGUAAGAUGAAGUUUUCAGUUGCUUAGUUGUGAGUUUUAGUGUCUCAUACUAAGUGUGUUGUCUCAGCAACAAGACCACAUUGCAAAGCAAAAGAGGACUUCAUAGGAGGAUUCAGAGAUACAUCUAAGUUCAAUAUGUCGAAAGGUUAAGAUGAUCGGUUUACUCACCAUUGACUUGAGACAGGACCAGUCAUCCACUAAAGGCUGGCCAGCUGGUCGGACACUCUCGAGCACUUCAGGCCCUUGCUCGGAACCAAAAAGAAGCUUUCCAAUAAGUUGUAUACUGGUAUCUAUAUGCAGACGAUGUUCCAUUACUUCUAGUAGAUGCUUUUGAGCGUUAAGUUUCUGAUGGGAACCUUCAGGUGCCCUAUGAAACUUCGAAUAAGAAAAAAAAAAAAAAAUUAGUUGCAUAACAACAAAAGCAGCAUGGGCAAAGUGAUGUUUUAAAACCUAAUGUUGCAUAAAAGAUUCAAAGAACUUAUAAAUAAAAUGAACCUUAUGCCAGAAAUGAAUUAGAUCUGCAUCACGUUGGUUCACGGCCUCUGGUAAUGGUGGCAAGGAAUUAUAAUCAACAUAAGUGGGAUUAUCAUUGGCAGGAUUAGAACCUACGUACGAAACAAGUUUUUUUGCAUUUAGAUCCAGAUCCCCGUAUUGCAUGACAUGAGAACCAAAUAAAUAUGUCCUGUGAACUGCAGUCCUGGUUUUGACCUGCAAAGAUUAAUAGAAGUGCUUAAACGGACAGCUACAGAAACAGGUGACAUACGAUGAGGAAACUACGACAUCAAGUGCGUACAAGUUGAUACUGCUGCUUCAGUGUUUCAAUCUGCCAAUUGUGCAUAUAGCUGAUCAUGCAAAAAAAAUAACCAUGUAAGAUAACUAAAACCAAAAAGGUCAAUGGACAUCCAAGAUAUGACACACUACUUGACUGAUUUAUACACAAACAAGUAGGAUUAUAUUCUAUUUCUGUUUAUAUAUUCUAUCAGAAUACUUUUUUUCAGUUUAAUCAAAAGAAACCAUUAACUCAUCUGCAUCAAGAAGACCUAAAAGAGGAUCAUUAUUUUCUAAAAGAAAAUUCAAGCUAUACAAGGAUAAAUGACAUGCUGACGUGCCAAAAUAUAAAGCCAAGAAUAUCAUGCAACAACACUGGAUCUUUUUCUUUGUUUCUCUUUUUUCUGCUGUAAUAUCACUAGAUCUCAAGAAAGAAUAGAAGGUACAGUUUCAUUUUCUCUCAAACAGAAUGCUCACAUAAAGAUGCACAAUCUUGUAUGUAGAAAUGUUAUCCAAAAAGCAGAUGCAUAUAUUCGUCGACAACAAAAGAUGCUCAUUAUAUCAGAUAACCAGGAUGCUUCAUUUGGUGGAGAAGGUUUACACACCUGUCUUCCAUCCAAGAAACACUAUACAGAUCCCCCAAACAGGUAGAGUAUUCUGGAGGAGGGGAAGGGAACAUUCCGGGGCAGUAAGUUCCAUAACUACUCUCUGUAGUAUUUGCUGCAGUGGUUGCAUAUACUUUUAUAUUGUCUGGGAGAAGGCCCUCAAAAAUACUCCCAGAUUCACAAGCUUCAAGAUAAAAUACCUACAUAGUAAAACACGAACAAAUAUAAACUACAAUAUAAAAAAGUUAUGACAGUGCAUACGCAGGGUAUAUAAUAGAUGUUACCAUGCUUUUAAAGGAUCCAGAAGCAUGUUUUUUCUUUAACACGGCAAUCAAGUCAUCCGCAUAAAGGUAAGGAUAAGUGGGCAUCCCUAAGAAGUUUUAGAACAGAAAUUAGAAAAGCUAUCAUUCUGAUGCUACAAGUGUGGAGUCAGAAAAUAGAACAUUUGAGGAACUAAACCCGAUCCCAUGAGAUUCUCAAAUAAGCUGAGGUUUCACAAACUUUUACAACUUCACAGUAAAAUUGCAGCUAGUCAUAAUUCAAAGUUCUACAACUUCAGAAAAAGAACUACAUUCUCUUUCUUAUGGAAAUAUACGAAACCAAACAAACAAUUUAAUAAUUGGACUUACAAUGGCACAAUAAUAAGAAACAUAUAGUCCAACUAACCAAGUACUCCAGGUCCACCGUGAUCAGAGUAGAAAACGAAGAUAUGAUCAUUUGGAGCACUAUUAACAACCUUCCCACUUCCUCCAGACAAAGCAGUCUUGUUUCCCAGGAGUACAGCAAAGAAGUUGUUCACGUUAACAUCAUCUCCAACAUAGUCCUGCAAAGGAUUAUUCCAAACUUAGACAAGAGCCCAUGAUGAUGGACAGGAACUGUAAAUAUAAAUGUGAGAAAGAGAAAACCUUUGGCACUCCAGCAUAAACAUCUUCACCCCAUGGAUCAUUGAUAAUGACCCCAGGUCUAGGAUUAUCCUCAUUAUUAGCAAUGUCAUCAUACAUGAAAACAAUGAUAUUCUCAUCUUGCAAUCCACCCUUUUUCAGGACUUGGUAUGCAUGACAUACAUCAGCCUGAAGAAAGAAUUCAAAGAGAAGUGUUGAUAUUAGGCAAAAUUAACCAGAACUGAAUCAAGACAUGGAUGGAUGUUUUUAAUUUUGCAUAAAAAUGAUUUCCUAUUUAUGAUUACAGAAGAACUCACUAAGAAAUGGUCAAGCUGCAAAAAGAUAGCCACUUUAUAUAAUAAAAGUUGUCUGGCUAAAAAUAAUCAAUUGCCACUAAUUGUCAAUAUUCCAGUCAACAGCAAACUCCAAAAGCCUGGUGUCUUGUGAAGGCACAGUACAUUCAUUUUUGAAUUAGAGAAACACACUCCUCAUACAAAUGAUAUAAAUGACAUAAACAAUGAUAAAAGAACUUCCAAUCAGCAUUCGUAGUUGCUAUCAGUGUAACUUUAGGCAUUUUGUGUAACUAAAUGGUUGUGUAACUAAACAGUGAAUGUUUAUGUUACACCAUAAUUACGGAGGCAAUUAUGCAAUAUCAUAUAAAGGUAAUCCGAACGAGGCUUUUGUCGUUAUGUGCUUCAGAGUGUAUCAGAUACAGAUGGUCAUUAUACCCUCAGAUGUGUAGAGGGCGCUUCCGUGAUCUAACCCAUGACUAGGGGUGUUCAAACCUGUUCGAACCAAACUAUUAAGGGUCAAACCAAACCGAAUCAUUUUUUCAAUUUGAUUAGGUUAAAGUAAGGUAGUCCGAACUAGAACCAAUUCAAAACCGGUUAACUUGGUUCUGUUAACCGGUUUGUAAUUUCAUACAACUAAAAAAUAUAUUUUUUUUAAAUGAACCGGUUCAAUUCAAUUAAACCGAACCGAAAUCUUGGUCCAAUUGAGCAUCAUGACAAUCUUUGUGAAAUUGAGUCCACAUCAUAUGUAAAAUUGAGCCUUUGGGUCAGUUUUAUUGAUCAAUUUAAAUUGAUUAAGGGCUUAGGAUAGUAAACUCAACCAGAUUGAUAUCCUUUAAAUUAAGACUGGUUCAGUUCGAUCGAACCAGUUUAACCAAACUGAAGAAAGUUACCAUCGAACUGGAACCAUUUAUAGCCUCCAAAACUAAACCACUGGUGAAUCAGUUCUGACUGAACUGGUUUUGAAUUGGUUUGGUUCCGGUUCAGUUCGAUUUGAAUACCCUUACCCAUGACACCCAAACUGUAGUAGACAACUUUAGUGUCCAUUAAGGUUUGUUCCCUACUUCUGUGGAAAAAGAUAGCAAGCUAAACUUAAUAAAUGACAAUUGUAAGGUUGAAAACAUCAAAUUGAAUUUUAUACAAUUUUGAUAUUGUCUAUAGCCGAAACUUUGCAUAAUGAGCAGAAAAAUAUUUCAAAUUUGUUUUCCAAAAUUAGUACAAUUUUGUAGAUAUGCUAGUAUUGUGCUAAAGAGCAACUAAAAUGAUUUUCUUUUUCCACAUAAAAAGAAAAUUAAUUGGUGAUCUCUGGAAUCCAAUCAGUUAUAACCCAUCUCACAAUCAAACCUCAAAGAAGUGGAAACAACUAUACAAAAUAUCUAUCUACAUCGAGCUCUUUUAAACAAGGGUCAAUGUUCCUUAUCAAGCGAUGAUUCAGCUCUAGGCCAACCACGAUAAAAAAAUUCCAAGAGCUCACCAAUAGUUUACCGAACAGAUGCAAACUUUUUUAUGUUUCUGUAUGAAGUAAAUAAUAAACCAAUAGGAACAGCUUCGAGGGUUGAAAAAUGGAAUCAGAAGAACACAAAAUGACAGAAAUAUCGAAUAACAUUUAUGCAUAUAUGCUACCGCUACAACCCAACAAAGGGGACCGCAUACAUUUAAUUAGGCAAGAGAAAAUAGCAUGAGGAAAUGCCAGUAAUCAUGUCUGAUCAAUAUACUUUCCACAACCACGAGUCAAACCUAAACGUCUUUGCCUACCAAUUCUUUGAUCAUGAAGAAUUCAUCGGAAAAAUUGAGCUCGUGCCGCAUUCCGCAAGCACGUUAAUCAAAAUAUGGUCCUGUAUAUGCUAUCUAAUUGCGAAAUAUCAGAAAUUUCUUCGAGAAAUCCUUCAAAAGAACGCGCUGGUCCCUCGGGCACGCUAUUGACAAUAACGGUAACAUGAAACAAACAACGUUGACGAACGCGACAAAAUAAUAGAUUUCCAAACAGGAAGGCGGUUUGUUACUCCGAGAAGACGUUUUUGUUUCCUUCUUUCUCCAUGGAAAAAAUCAUGAGACGGAAGUGGGAGACGAUAUACCUGAUGGCGGUAGUUGUAGUAUCCAUUGGAUCCGGCAAUGAGGACCGCCCACCUCGUCCCCAAAGGGUCGCCCUCACCGAUGAUCGGUUUUGCCACGCGAUCGGACGGCAACCUUAUGGGAUCGAGGCGGGAUUCGACGAGCAGCAGCGGGACGAGGACGAGGACGAGGACGAGGCGGCGAAGCGCGCCGGCGGCAAAGCGGGCCAUCGUAACCGUUUCGGACGUAUCAAGGCGGAAGAGAUCCGAUAUAUCCGAUGUGGAUCGCUUACUCCGUAACGGAGGAGCGCCCCAAACAGAGGCAGGCCGCGAUUAGUGCUGACCAUUUAUAGGCCGCGGCGCGGGUCACCCCGAUAUAUUGGCCAUGGGAUCUGCUCGACGACGACGUGGAUCCGUCGCCACCGUCCCUUUUAUUGUUGGCUGAAUAUGACGCGGCCGUGGGACCGGGAACAAAGAUUAUCCCGACACUGCGGGACGGCGAACGUGACGUACCCAAAUCACUCACCUGUCCUUUAAAUGGAUGCAGCGUGUGGGACCACCUUCUUUGGGGGGACGUGUUGUCAUUCUUGGAACACACGUAGCACAAGGCCUUUUCCAAACGUAUCAAGGAGUUGAUCGUUUAACACGAAUCUCAACGGACGUAGAUUCGAUAUUGAUUUAAUACAAACAUCGCUUCGGAUUUUUAUUCUUAUGUUGAAAGCUUAUAUCUGUUAACAGCUUCACUGCGUUACCGUGGUGUUCAACCUACACGCUUCAUGAUAGGACAACAAGCAUGGGUCCCAUGCUGACUCUGCUGAACCGGUUCGCUGCUGAACGCGAAGGGGUAGGAAAAGUACCAUGUCGUGGCUGUAUCUCAAGCAAACAUUUUGGGCCCCAGAAGAGGUUGGUACGUAUGUCCUCGCGCGUAAGCUAUACGCGUCGGGAGUCCCUUUGGGAUGGACACCAAAGACGCUUGGAGACUCCACCACGACUCGUGGUGUCCCCGUGACGAAGCACAUUGAUGACUUCCCAAGUUUCUCUUUAAAUGAGCUCCUCGAUCCUUCGCCCAAACCUUUCUCUCUAUUUCGACUCCUCCACAUCCGUUUCUACGAGGUCUUCUUGAGUUAGGGUUCCGAGGGUUGGUCCGUCAUGAAUCCCGAAUAGUAAGCUUCUCCGAUCCUCGAUUUCUUUUCUUUUCCUUUACCAAGAAGUCUCUUGUCUGCUAUUAACUAGGGUUUUCUGUUCUUUGCGGCUUUUGAUUCGGCAGAUCGUCUCGUUUUCUUUUGGUUUUUUUUUUCUCGAUUUCCUAAUUUUCGGCAUGCUUUAGCCGGCUUUUCUCUCUUCAGGGGCGAGCGAGUUCAGGAUAUUAAUGUGACGAGGGUUUUUCCCCCUUUUCUUUUGCCGCACUAGUUGGCGACCAAAAUUCUACUGUUAAUGUCUGUUGUGAUGUGUGUAGAUCAGUCUCGGCAUGGAAUAUGAGAUCAUAAUGACCAAUAUUGGACCUUUUAUUAUUAGAAACUGGAUUCAAACAUUUGGUGCGUCCAUUGUGGCUAUCAGCUUUACCUCCUUUGAUGUGUGAUUUCAGCCAUCACAUCCACUUUGUGAGAAAGCUGAAUCCAUGUGAUGAUUAUGAGCACUCGUACAUGCUUUCACUAGAAAAUAAACGAAAGGAUAAACUAUUGUGUAAAGUAUCUUCUAACUUCGUGAGUUAUGUCUGAACUGAUAAAAUAACGAUCCAAGUUUGAUUUUUUUUUUUGUUUCAUGAGAUCAAAGGACAAUUUUGCAUAAAAAGAUAUUUAUUUUUUGUUUUCUCUCAUCUUUCUCGAAGUUUCAGUUUGUAGUACAGAUUCUAGUAAAGAUCUGUUGCGGAUAAAAUAAUCAGAUAUAGAUUUUUAACACUCUAUCGUGGAAAAAUUAGACUAGGAAGUUUUGUAAUUCAUGAUUUUCUUUUUUCUUUUUGUGCUAUCAUUGUUUGAGUGUGUCCUUGUCAUUUUAAUUUAGUUGAAACUGCUAAAUGGUGAUAAUUUUUCAACUAUGUUAAAAAUGAUAGAAUUUUGUUCUUUUGUAGGUAUGUUUUGCAGAUCCAUAAUACAUGUUUUUUAUUAUUAUUUUUUAUCAUUUUUUUAUAUCUUUGUUGAGCUUUUUGAUUUCUGAUGUGGUUAAAACUGAAACAGAUGAUGAAAAUUUUUCAAAACUGUUGAAGACGACAGUAUUUUGCUUCUUUUACCAGCUGUAAUUAAGCAUUGAAACUAUAUAAUAUCCUUGGUUUUUUGCAGCAGAAUAUUUUGUUGCUGCAUGAGAAUGAUUCUUAUCUGUUAUUUUCUAAUUCAUAAGAGACUUUUUUUUUAUGUUUGAUGAUUUUGUGAAUUGCUGAUAAGAUGAAGUUUUAGUCUAAGAUUGGUAAAACAAUUGUAAUAGAUAAUUAGAAAUGAUACCAUGGUGCAAGUGGAUAAUGAAUAAGGACUCAGAGGAACCUGCCCUUUCAGAGCUAAGGCAUAUAUAGGAAUAGGACCAAGUUCUUAUAUGGCAAGUAUAAAUUGAAAUAUGAGAUUCCAACUGAUUUAUAUAGAUCCUGGGAUGUUUUGAGAUUCCAUCAUACCAAAUUGAGCCAUUCUCACAUGGCAUCAAGUGUUAUACCUUUAGAUGGACUACCUCAUAGAUAUCUGCAGGUUCAUCAAUGUCUUUUGUUUGGAAAUGUUUCUUAUGAAGUGAAAAAAACACUCAUUAACAGAUUGAUAAAUUUUUUAGGGGAAAAAAAAACAGAUUGAUGAAGUUACAUUUAAUAAAAUGAAAAUUACAAUUUUGAUAGAACAUAUAAUAUUGAUUGCUAAAAAAAAACUAUUUUGAUGCAUAAAUAGAACAAUCCCUUGCAUGACUUAGUAUUAAGAAACAAAAAUAGAACAAUCCCUUGUAUGGCUUAGUAUUAAGAAGUUAUCUUAUUGCUAUUAUAGAAGUAUGCCAUAUAUGGAUUAGUAUUUUUGACUUUUGGUGUGAUAUAUCAAAUCAGAACUUGUGACAAUGUUAUUCCUAGUAAAUAUUAACAUUUAAUGUCAAGUAUUUCUUACUGAAGAAAGAAACAUGGCAUUUUGGAGACUACUUUUGUGCUAGUCAGGUCUAAGUUUAGCAGUUCUCUCCCUCAUCUUGAUUAAUGAGUGCAGUAAAUAGACUCCAAGCUGCCAAAUUAGACUUAAGUAGAAAUCUAAUGGCUCAUGAUACUCCAGUUUCUCAAAUGGGAGACAAAAAUAGGAACAAAGAUAUGCUGAUUUUCUCUACUUGUUGGGACCUGUGAAUUUAUUUUGCUCAGACUUGCUGUUAUGUGGUAUGUCAGCAAAUAUUUUCUUAUAAAAAAUAGUUGUUAUUGAAGCUAUAUAUCAACCAUAUGCAUUGAUUUUAGCACUCAUAUUUUAGUGGGUUGUAACUUUGUAAUUGCUUAACAGUUUUUGUAGCAUUAGGUACAGAUUCACCUAUGUCCAUUUUUCUAGCAUGGAGAAAAGUUGAGAUUGAUGCAAUUUUAUUUAUUAGGGAAUAGAAACUCUGAAUAUCAACAUCUAUGACCAAUGUAUAUAUUGCAGUGACUAUCUUUUCAAGCUUCUGCUUAUUGGGGAUUCGGGGGUUGGAAAAUCAUGCCUUCUACUUAGAUUUGCGGUGAAGAUCUCCUCUUUUGUCUUCUUUUCUAGUUCUUUGGAACUUGCUAUCAUCUUAUGAUAAUACUCUGUUGUGCUACUUUUGGCUUUUUCUAUGACACUAUAUCUUUUACUGUAGGAACAUUGUUACCAUGGAGGCAUACUGUUUUGAUCAUAUGGGAACAUUAUGUGUAACUGUCCAAUUUUAGGUCAUGUAUUUGUUGUGUUUGCUCAUUCUUUAUUCAUGUAUGGUGGCAGUUUCUAGUUCAACUAUUUCUUGUUGAAAAUAAGCACACACAUUGUUUACAUAUAUGAUCUCUGAUUGUUGAUUUUCUAUGAUGCACACACAUAAUAUCCCUUUCCAUUAUAUUUAAAUUCAUAACAGUUGAGAUUAAUUUUUUAUUUUGUGAUAUCGAAAUAAAUUAAUAAUUAUGCACUUAAUCAUAUUAAUUUAUUUUGAUUUCACAUAAUGAAAAGUUAAUCUCAACCGUUGGGGAUUUAAAUGUAAUUACAAGAGACAUCAUGCCGUAUGGUAAACAAAAGUUUGUUUAUCUAGAAAUUAUGAUUUUAUUAUCUUGUCUUUAUCGAUAUGAGAAUUCAUGAGUGUUAAAUUAAUACCAAGGAUCAUUAUAAAACCUGACAGAACAUAUAAUGAUUACAUGAAAGAACCUCCUAAAAUAUAAGUGUUCUGAAUAAGGUUUAGGGUGGAACAAUAUGUGUAUUAUGGAAAACCAACAAUCAGAGAUCAUAUAAGCAAAUAGUGUAUGUGCUUGUUUUCAGGAAGAAAAUAGUUGAAGCAGGAAUUGCUGCGGUAGACGAAUAAAGAAUGAGCAAACACAACAUAUGUAUAAAUUGGAAGACCUUGUAGAUGAUUCCAGUCCAAGGAAACCCUUAGGCAUAUUAUUUACUGUGCCCGUUGUUGAGAUCAUCAGUUGAGAUCAUCAUUCUUCCGUUUCAGGUAUAUUAGUUUUAGGAAGUUGGAAGUCUCUUUUCCUUCUUAGGAUAUUUCUAUUUGAUGUAAUCAGGCAAGGUUUGUGAGUUACUGACUUCUCCCAACCCCCCAAGAGUUUCCCCCCUCAGGUUCUAAAUUCAUGAGAUGUAUUUUCAUGACAAUUCUAUGUUUUCUAUGUAACAAUGCCUCAGAUUUUGACAUAUCUAAAGUUUUUGGGCAAUUUCACAUUUGAUGAACACUUGUUCAUUUUAUAUUGUGCAGUAACAAGUGUGAAUUACAUGUUUUAUUGCAUGAAAUGUGCUACAUUGUCUUAUUUUUCUGCAUUUUUAUUGAACCAUAUGGAGAUCUAUGAUAUGUAAGUUUCUCUUCUUGCUUGCUUCAGGAUGAUUCCUAUAUAGAAAGUUACAUCAGUACAAUUGGUGUAGACUUUGUGAGUAUGCUUACACUUUUAUACCCUUCUCCCUCUUGCUCCCUUUUCUCCUCUCCCCACCCAAAACUUGUUUCAUGACAGUUUCUUUUUAUCUCAUUAGAAAAUUCGCACGGUAGAGCAGGAUGGGAAAACCAUAAAACUUCAAAUUGUAAGUAAGAAUGAAUUUAGCAUCUGUCGUGAAGCAUUUAGGUUCUUUUCAUGCUAUUACGUUUUCUCUUCAUUGCAGUGGGACACUGCUGGUCAGGAACGCUUCAGGACAAUCACAAGUAGCUACUACCGCGGUGCACAUGGGAUUAUUGUGAGAUCCAUCGUGAUUCUAUUGCUGUGAUUUCAGUUUUCAUGGUUUACUAUACUGUUUUGUUUGACAAUAUAUGCCUGACAGGUGGUCUAUGACGUAACUGACCAAGAAAGUUUCAACAAUGUCAAGCAGUGGCUGAAUGAGAUUGACAGGUAUGCCAGUGAAAAUGUGAACAAGCUUUUGGUGGGAAACAAGUGUGAUCUGACCGAUAAUAGGGCAGUAUCUUAUGAAGCUGGCAAGGUAAUUAUUGCUGUUAAGGAGUAACAAAGGCAGGAUCCCUCAUCUUCUGCAGUCUGCAAUUUGAGUCGAAUGAGCUAACAAUCUCUGGCCUUGGUUCCUGAAGGCAUUUGCGGAUGAGAUCGGCAUACCAUUCCUGGAGACAAGUGCCAAGGACGCUACGAAUGUAGAGAAGGCAUUUAUGACCAUGGCUGCUGAUAUAAAGAACAGGUGAGCUUUUAUUUGUCGACAUUUGCAUGGAAGAACACUCCAACCUCGUAGAAUUAUCACUGUUUGAUUCGUUUUUAGUCAAGCUUUUAGAUCAUACUGAUAGUGUCAUUGGAUUUUUGUGUACAGAAUGGCAAGUCAGCCAGCUAUGAAUGCCAGCAAACCUACGACGGUCCAGAUGCGGGGUCAACCAGUCGCCACGAAGAGUAGCUGCUGCUCCUGAAUCAAUUCAACACAAUCAUACGCCUUUGCUCCAGACGAGAGGUCAUUAUGCUGAUAAAAGUUGGGGGGCUGUUUAUGGCGUGUAUUUGUGAAUUACAAUCAGAAACUCUGCUUGGUUUGUAUUGGAUUUAAAAGAAACAGGUUUGUGUUUAUCUGCCACCCGGAUGAUCUUGAGGUAUUCAAGUAUUAAUGACACAAAUAGUUGCUAUCUUGAUCCUCGAACGUAAUUCAUCCUAUGUAUAUACAUAUUUGCUAGUUUGCACUGACUUGAUCUUGCACGGGCGAACGCUGCCGGCCUUCUCCUUUUUAAGUUUGAUGUUUUAUUAUUGAGUAACGUCUUGUGCCAAAUCAAUGUUGCAACCUUGAAUGCUACGACUUGUAAUCUGGCGCGUGCCAUGUGAGCCAUGUGAUCGCCGCGGAUGGAGUGUUAGGUUCGUAAAGGGUUAUCUCAUAAAAUCUAUAAAAGAGUAAAUUAAUUAGUUUAAAAACUAGAUAGGUUCUGAUAUCUGAUGUUAUUUAUAUGAUUAUUUAUAUGAUCAAUUCACGAAAGGUUAUGCAAGAGAAAAAAAAGAGGAAAGAGAAAACAAAUAUUUUAGAAUGCAAAUGAACAGUCGGAAGUCUGCAAAUGAUUGUUCACCGAGUGUCGAGGGCGAUGGCAAAUUCUUGUAGACUUUGAAAUUCGUUUCUAUUCAUAGUUUUCAAGCAAAAAUAUAGAAAAUUAAGGCAAAAUACACUGCUAAGCAUAUGUGCAAGCAAACAAAAGCGAUUAACAAUUCAUUGACAAAGAACCUAUCUAGUUUUUAACUGUUCGUGACAUUCUCCCUCACUUAAACUGUUGACGCUCUUCAUGCUCCCAAGUGUCUUCCGUUCGAGGAAGAUUUCAUCACUUUACUAAGUAUUCAGUCUGCUAUGCUCCGUUGGAUAGUUUUGUCUUAUGAUCCAUUAAAAUGAUUUCAACUCAUUUAUAAUAGGAAACUCUGGUGGGAGGUAACAAAGUUGAAAUACUUCAGGAAGCAUCCUACGGGUUUGAGUGAUAGGCUUGUAAGUUGCUUGCGUGGAAGACUUAAUGGAUUUUGAGUCACGCUUGUAGUUGUAACUUAUAGGAGACAUUGUCUACCAUGUUGAUAAUUGAGAAUGAUCCUUUGCGCACCAAUCUCUUAUGCACAUUAUGCUUAAAGAACUAGAGUGAUGCUAGUUGGAGCUUCAUCAAUACCAAGUCACCAAUUUUAAACUCUUAUGGUCGUGUUUCCAAGUUUGCCCAAUUCUUCAUCCUUUUGAUAACAUUUUCUAAGUAAGCUCACACAAAAUUUACAUUUUGGUGUUAUUCUUUUAUAAAGUGAUAUUCGGUAUAACCAAUCGCAGGUAUAAAGAGUCGAUGACUGUUGUCCCAUAAUGAUAUCGAAAGGACUCUAAUUAAAUGCAAAGCUCUACUGUAAGUUAUAGGAGAAUUGGGCUAUAUCCAAUAGCUUCAACUAAUCUCAUUAGUUAGUACUUACAGUGCCGAAGAUAUUACUUAAAGAGUAAAUUUGUUCUUUUAGUUUGGCUAUUUGUUUGGGUGUAAAGGUUUGUGGAGAAGUUUAACUUAGAUCCUAGUAAUUUGAACAACUCGAUCCAAAAUUGUCCAAAGAACCAUGCGUCUCGAUUACUAAUGAUAUUGUGCGGGACUCCCCAAUACUUCAGCACAUUCUUUAUCAUUAACUUGGUCAUGUCUUCUGUUGAGCAGUGUAAGGGUGCAACAAUGAUUGUUGCAAAUUUUAAAAAUCGAUCAACUACCACAAGUAUCGAUCCAAGUCUUUCUAUUAUCGGCAAGCUUGAUAUGAAGUAUAAAAAAAUAUUCUCCCGUGACCUUUUUGGUACGGACAAUGACUCAAAAAAUUUCAUUGGCUUUCAUUGCUUUACUUUGUGAUAAAUAAGACACGUUCGAAUAUAUUACUCCACAUCGGUCUUCGUUUUCGGCUCAUAAAAGACCCUCUCCACGAGACCCAAUAUUUAGUGAAUGUUUAGAUGUCUAACCUAAAAGAAAUCAUGACAUUCUCUUAGGAAUUUAUGCCUCAAACUAUUCAUUUAAAGAACAUAAACUUUAUUACUUCGAAGAACAUACUUUAUCAUCAAACUCAAUAAACUAUUGAGUAUCACAUUCUCAUCAGCUUAAUAUCAACUCGGAUGUCUUGUCACUUCGAUAUUUGGUGGGCUGAUGUUGGGUUGCAAUGAUGUAAUUGUCCAAAAAGUUAAUUUGAUUUUUAAUUACCCUAAUGUUUAUUUACUUCAAUCAGUUAUCAAAAAUCAUUAUAAAAAGCCGAGAUACGAUUAGUUUGACCAAAGAUUAUUAUAACACUAUAAGAAAAACCUUAGUUAGCUCUGAAUCUCCUUCCGAUGGAUAAUAAAUUUAUUAUUAUAAAUUAGUGUUAGAACGAGGACCUAAUAUAACUCAUAUAUCAUAAGAUAAUUGAGUCAAAACCUCAUGAGAUCACAUAAAAGAUUCGAUACUAUUAACGCAAACACUUGCUUUGAGAAUAGGAUUAGGAAACCCUUUUUUCCUUAUCCUUAAAGCACAGUAACACUUCAACAUUUAGAUGAUGCUAGUUACAUCACUUAUGAUGAAUCAAUCAUCGUGCUGAAUUAGUUGUAGAAUAGACCAUGUAUAAAAAUAGAUCAACAGACACAAAUGAAUCGAUCAACAAACACAAAUGAAUCGUUUAAGCAUUGUAAAUCAAAAUUAAAUAAUAUUUUUUCACAAGUGAAAGAUACUAAUAAAUAAAUAUAAAUAUAAAAUAAAUUUAGAAUAUUUUUAUAAUUUAAAAUAUUUGAUUUCGAAACAUGACUCUAAUAUCAAUUAUAAACAUAAAACUAUAAUAUAUUAAUAUUAUGUAAAAAUACUGAUAUAUUAAAUUUAUAAUAUAUACCUUUGAAUACCGGUCGGAAAACCUUUAUUUGAUUUACAAACACACAUCAUUGAAUUUGAAAGUUACAAUAAUAUUAAUUUAUAAAGAGAACUAUAUUUCUUUUCUUAUUCUUGUAAACUAUAAGCAAUAAAUUAGAGACAAAUAAAAGAUCUUAGAAAUAAAUAUUUUGAGAAGAGCCAACACAAGUUCCUAAAAGUCAAGUCGACGAUUUCAAGUCAUAACCCCUUAAAAACUAUAUUUGAGAGACAAAUUAAAAGGACUCAACUUAAAGGAACACAACUUUAAAUGUUACAAAUUAGAUCUCCAUGGAGUUGUAGGACACUUUGGAGAUGCUAAACAAUCUCAUCACAAUAAAUGAUACUCAACUUAACAAUACACAACUCAAAAGUGUCCUACAAACAUUAGAGAUCAUCACUCUAAUACUUAUCUUAAUUAUAAGCAGCCUCUAAAUCCCCUUAAGAAAGAGAUUUUUGCCACACACAUCCCCAAGCAAUUUUGUAAGAAUGUAACCAAACCCAGGUGAAGUACUAUUACAUGAAUCAAACAUUCAAACAUUAUAUCGACAUUAAUGAAACAAUUGAUUCUCCUUUCUCAAGGCAUCAAUUUGCAAUCGCCACUCCAAAACAUACUAACCAACAUUGUAUCGACAAUAAAGAAAUAAUUGAUUCUCCUUUCUCAAGGCAUCAAUUUGCCGGGACAUUAAUAAACGGAUUGAAUGUCAAAUAAGGCUUCAAAGUACGUCUAUCCGCGUACUGGUUGGUACCUAUCGGUGAUCGGACGCCAAUAAGAGGCUCAGAAUACAUUGCUCAGAAGCCAAGCGUAACAAAGGCACUUCAUCGAAGACCCAAUUUGGUUGAAAGGAUCUUCUUACGUGUUAGCAGCUCAUCAUAGCAAUGUUUUCUCGGUGUUGACGAAAACCACACAGGCGAACGCUAAAUAAGCAGGUUUAGAAUCGAUACUGCUUAGUCUUUUGAAACACAUGGCUGUUUCAUACGGCCAAAAAGGAAAACUCGAAUGCAUUAUAGAAAAUGAAGCGCCAAUCAUGCAUAUCUCCACAAAUUGCUACAAGAAAUAUCAAUUGUUUGGCGAGCUAAUCUACAUCAUGUAAUGAAUGAUACCUAGAACUCAGUGAACGCUUGCCUGCUUCUAGUCCCAGAAUCAAAAGACAGAGACACUGAAUGCUUAGAAUCAAGGGAAAGGGAACCCGAAAUCGUUGCCAGAGACGGAAAAAAAGGACAAGAACGAAUGACUUGCAUAAUCGGGGAUCAAGCGAUUUUUAACACAAAUCAAUUUUGUAUCGAAGCAAAGAGUAAAAUCCUGGAGAAACCGAAACAAUCAGCGAAAAUCCAACUGCGCAAUAUCACAAGUGCACAAACUUUGACCGACAAGAGGUCUCCUCACUACAACCAAGGACCACGGGUCUCCGGCUGAAAUCAUUCGCGAAGCCCCUAGAAACAGUGGAACAAAGGCAACGACGAAGGAUUCGGCGAAAGAAAGGGGAGAGGAAACGAGGAGGUAAGGUCGCCUCCGCAAGCGAAUGGGAGGACGCGAACGAAUCGGAAGCUCGGACCACCACCGCUUAUAUAGCGCUGGAGGUCCGAAAACCCUAAAGCGUUCGGCCGAUCGCCUCCUCGUGUUAUGACCUAAGUGCCCCUGGUGGCCGAUUUGUUCGUUCCUUAUGUUAAGACGAAAGUACCCUUGAGCGUCCAAGAACCAACGGUUUCAGAUCCGUAUGUUAUGACGAAAGUACCCUCGAUCUUCCAAGAACCAACGGUUUUAGAUCCAUGGGCUAAAUAAAUAGCAAAUGCAAUAGAGACGCAUGUAAUGACGGAAGUGCCCCCGUAGGACCCAAGAAUUCCAAUCGACUCCAACGUAUUUGGAGCCUUCUGAUGCCUCGAGCAGAGUGAAAGGGAAGCCUUCAUCCAAAGCUUUGGGGCCGGAUUUGAAGUGAGAAAAAAUUGUGACAAAUACACAGCUGAAACUUAUACAGAUUAAUUUUAAUUUUCGUGCAUUAAUGGCUCCUCACAAGUAUGUGCUUUCGCUGGACCGACAGCAGAAAGCGCCUCAAAGAACGGGAGGAGGUCGCUAACAAGUCUCUCGUGAAUUCAUAUGACCACGGAAAGUCUCGCCAGCUCCCAAAGCAAUAUGAAGAACAAGAAGAAAAAGACGCAUAUCGCAUAGAGAAGGAAUGCCACAAAGCGUCUCUUCCUUGUGCUGUAGGCGAUGAUAGGGCAUGUAAGCGAGUUGGGAACAAAACUGAAAAGGACAAGUAGUUCAGGAAAAAGGAAACGAAACUAAGAUUUAGAGAUGAUAAAAAAAAAAAAAUCCACAGUAUUAAUCGAGGUACUAACAUUGAGAACUAGUCAUACCACUCCUCUCAAAGAAUCCAGUUUUUGAUGAAAUAAGAGACUGAAUUCAAAACCAUAAAAGAACAUAGGAAAAGCUUAUCGAAAUUUUUUGAUGAACAGGACAAAGAUUUAGCUUCUCAAAAUUUUUCGAUGAACAUGACAAAGCUCCUCGAAACCAUUAAGAUUUUCAAUGCUACAUCAAAACUCGAAGCAUUAUAUCUUCGUCUUGGAUGUCUACAUCAUAUACAGUCAUCAUAUCAACCUCGGACGGACUGAAUAUGUUUCGACCUGGCUACAGACACAGCUCAACAAUUCUCCCUUUCCCCAAUGAACUGCAAUGAGAUAAAAGAUAUGGACAACAUUAUGCAUCAAACAAGCAGUAGAAAUUUACAGUGUCAGUGACCGAGAAAUGCCAAGUAGGUAGAAAGCACACACUCAUGACCGAGUCAUGCUUUGAGAAAAGUCAUUGUUCCAAUACACUUGAUGUUAGCUAUUGCUUGUCAAUCGUGUUGACGAGCUCAAUGCUUCAGUGAUCCUACUGAAGACGAGUCUAAGUGGAACACAUGCAACGGCAGGUCCCACCAUCUUUUCAACCACUGGCUUUCUCUCUUCUCCCUUUUCUUUCUGAUCAACAUUAAUUGAUGACAGCCUUCUGAUCUUUCUGGGAGACAACCUUGGUUUCCUGUUUUUCGAAUAUUUCCUUUUCAAUGAAGUAACAUUUGUAACUUCACAGUUUAUCCCAACAACAUUGAGAUACAUCUGGGCCGACUUCCUUUUAGGUAGCGAUUUCCCAAUACUAUUUCCCCCAUCCUUCAGUGACUGAUCAAUAUGCCUGGUAGUUAACAGAGUAUCGACUAAGCCAUCUUCCACAACCUCUAUAGGAACGGGGUGACCGACAAUUUCUUUACUAUUUGAUUUACUCAUGAGAGAUAUUAGAGGUACAUGAGGUCCACGAUAGCUUGAUUGUACAGUCACUUCAACAUCGUAUAGACAAGAACCCACACCUGUAAAUUUCAGUUGCUUCGACACCUGAUACUUAGAGCUAGUUGAUAGAGAAACCUGGCCAUGAGGAAACAAUCGUUGAAUCAGCAGAGCGGAGAUAGGCACAUGUCUCUUGGAUGAUCUAUCUUGAUCUCUUGCAUGUGCAGGCUGAAUUUUUACAAGUUCUGACAGGGAAUGUCCAUGUUCAUCAGAAAGGUGAAGAUCAGAACUCUGAUUUGGGGGAACGUCAUGUACCUCUGAGACUGAUUCAUCCUUCACCAACUGACCACCAUGAGAAUUGGAGGUCACGGAUUCACCAAAACAACUGCCAUCAAUUUUACAACCUGCAAAAUACCUUUCCUCCUGUAUUUUACCCUUCAAGGAACUGUCAGGAACAGCCCCAUUCAUAAAGUUUUCUGAACUUGUAUUUUUGCUAAACCUUGAAUUGUUCAGGUUCUUUUUAUGGUUUAAAUGCCGUUCCAAGGACCUUUUUUCUGUUUCCCCUUUGAUGUUCUUAAACCGACCCUCCGAGCCAGUGAAGCUACUCUCACCAAGUCCUUCUGUGAAGUGUGAUUCAAGUUCAUCCUGGUGGCAACCAUUAUGUUGCUUUUCUGCUACAUCAGGGUGAAGAUCUCUAGUUGGAAAGUGUUCAAACAUGAUUGAAAAAUCUGGAACAUCAUAUUACAAACAAGUUAGUCAUUUUUACAAUCAAGAUUAUUGCAUUAACAUGGAAGACAAAAAGUGCACAUUCUCUGCAUUCUAAAUUGUAAUUAUGUACAUAACACCAACAUCAUAGUAACAGAAGAAUAACAUCUAGUUAUUUCAGUGCUGAUAAUUUUAUUUGGCACAGUUUAUAGUCUCACACAUAUGGUUGCCUUAAACUUAUGUUUCUUUAAAACAACUAAGCACCUUUAUAGAUCAAAACUAACUAACGAAUAAACAAGUGAGAGAAAAGAAGUUGGAAAGCAACAAAGUGACAUGAAAAGAUUACAGAACGAAAAAAUAGUCAGCAAAAAAUCCUGACAUAUUAUCAAGUUCCCAAAAAGAUAUAUGAUUAAUAUAUCAGUAGUAAGAAUCUGCAUUAACAAGAUUAAUUAAACAUGAAUUUACCAGCAAACAAGGGUAAAUGCUGAGUCUUUGGUAUCAUCAGGUAAAGACAUUCAAGUCAACUCCUAAUAAAAGAAAUUUUAAGGGUAAUGUGGGUGUGCAAAAUACAGACACCAUAACAUUGUUUGGUGAAAGAAGCAAGCUUACAUAAGCAUAAUUUGAAAUAUGUAAUUUCCUCAAAGAAUGACAAAAUGUUCUACAUGUAUAUCUCCUCACAAACUCAUGCAAAGUUGGUAGUCACUACAGUAGAAAUUGUACUUACGACAGUGUGCAUAAUAUCCUACUGGUGCAUGCUGCAGCAUGCCUGUGCAUAAUUGAUGUAGAUCGAGAGGUCAUGAAUCGGUCUAGGUUAAGAUGGGCCAUAUUACUUUUUCUGUUUUUAAAUAUUUAAGAAAAUUCUCAUUGCUUCUUUAUAUUUUGGAAAUAAAUAUCAAUGAGUUUGAGUCCCAAAAAACCAAGGACUCAAACUCACAAGCUAUACUGCCAUCUUUAUAUUUUGGAAAUAAAUAUCAAUGCUUUUACGUCAGAAAAAUAAACAAUGAAUAAGCCAUGGUCAUUAGUUUCUUACAACAAGGGGGGGGGAAAGACAAAUUUUUGGAGCUUGAUUGUUGAUAGAAAGGUCCUAUGAUCGAAUCUCAUCUUUGACGCUUACCAAAGUGAAAAUAAAAAGAGCUUAAGGGAUAAUAGUAACAAUAUUCUUAACCUACUAGCUUAACAACACGAAAAAUUCAAGAUGUAUAUGAACACUUAAACAGUAGUAGAAGUCAAGACUUGCAAUCAAGGUAAGAUAAGCUGAACUGCAACACGGAUAUGAUAAACAGAAAUGCACUCUCUACAACCAUAGGUAAUACUUGUUUACAAGGAACGCAGUCUCAUACCGACUGGCCAUAUCAGUCCUAGUCGAACAGGUACAUACAUACCCACUGAUAUAAGUGUAUGGCACAUGGUACACGAGUAUGUACCAAUGAAAUAGAUGGCAGCGGAGAAGAAAGGAGGAAGGAGGAAGAGGAAGUAAGAAAAGAGGCAGUGAAGAAAGAGGAGGAAGAAGAAAAAGAAGGAAGAGGAAAGAAGAAGAGGUGGCCGUGGAGGAAGGAGGAAGGGGGAAGAGGAAAAGGAUACAAGAAGGAUGGAGGAAGAAGAGGAGGAAGAGAAGGAAACAUAUCUGAAACGACAGCAGGCAAUGGGCGGCGGGCAGUGAGAGGUGAUAGCAAUGACUCGGAUGAGUGUCGGGGAAGAGAGCUAACGAAUGCAAGCCCAAACUUGUUUUUUUUUUUAUUGGUUGGAACAGACUGCCUGAAACGCGAUAGUCCAUGUACCAUUCUAUGUCCAAACCGGUAUGCUUUACUUAUCUGAGCAAAACAGCAUUCCUCGGUUGUGUACAUAUAAUCCUCUCCAACCUUCCAUUGGCACAAAAAAUCAUGUACCAAGCUAUAGUUAGUAAUAAAUUAAGUAGACGAUAAGAAAGAGAUGACACUCAUCCAAGAAUAUGACUGCAAGAAUCUAGAAUUCAUCAAAAAAGGAAAAAAAAUUAUAAUAGAAACAAACCCUCAAAUGUAAUAAUCCAGGUGAAAAAAAUUUCUGGAUAAGUACCUAUGAUGACCAAGUAUGCAGCAUAAGGACACAUCUUAAACUAAAACUGGGUUUAAGCUACAAGAAGCAUAAAAAUCCUUAUAGUAUGUCAAUACCAAUAUCCCACUCUACAGUGGGCAGCUGCAAAAUCCAAGUUCGUUGACAAGGUAACAUUGACAGAUUAUCUGGUAUAACAAUGGCAUCCAAGUCAUGUAACUUAGUAAUGCCAAUUUAUGAUCAGAAUGGCAUAAUAAAUGGCACAUGAAUGCACUGAAAAUGCCUAACAUUAGUUUACCAUGCUGAAGCAACAAGAUGUGUCAUCUCAUGCAAUUUAACUUUAAAUGUCAGGAUCUUCAUUGUUAUUCAAAUUUAGAAAUAGAAGAAAAUUAUAAGAAGAUCAAUUUUUAACACAAACAAAGGAGGAAAUUUGUAAGCAUACCUUCCCUGAUAUUGUCUGCCAUUAUCAGGGGAAUAUCAAUGAGGCCAUCGGAGCAGUCAUUGUCAAUAAACUCCAACAUGCUCGCAAGCUCCGAGUCCUUUACUUCAGAAUCAAAAUUUGCAUCAUCAAUUUCACGAGUGUUCUCACAAGCAUUCAACAAUGCCUCACUUGAAGUUCCUGAACAGUGUGGGCUGACGGUGAUGUCACAUGAAAUAUCUGUCCUCCUUGAAUUAGAUAGCAAUUCAUUCAACUUAUUUGGAGAAGCCCCUUGAAGAGAUGGUUGCCCUCCAAAAGCACCAUCCCAGUGACAAUAUGAUGGAACUAUAACUUUAGUACCCUCGCAAACUUUACUAAGUGCUAGUCGACGAUCUUUUCUUCUCACAUUCUCAUGAGAUUGGGCCACAUGUGAUCUCUUCCUUUUCAGGGAUGAAAAAGAAUCUUUGCUGCUCUUUAUUGAACUCAAACUAGAAAAUCCAUCAUAAAUGUCUGACUUGCUAAGUGAAGCAUUGUCAGGAAGGCCUAGCUCAGUGGACCAUCCUGUGCUAGCAUGCACAUUAGGCUUUCUAUUGGAUACAACCCCCAAACCUAUUUCCUGAAGAUCUCUCAUUCGUUUUAUUCCUUCGUUAUCUUCUGAAUCAUUUGGAGUUUUCCUUCUUUUUUUUUCUGAUUGCUUAAUAUCAGGAGAAAUCAGAUCGUUUGUUUGUUCAUAUGACACUAAAGAUUGAGAUACCUCUUGAGCCGAAUUCUCCUCAAGAACAUCGAGUUUCCUGGCCACAUGACCUAAUUGUUUGUCAAGCCCAUAUACCUUUCUUGACUUCAUGGGAAAAUCAUAACCCAUUGUUCUGAAAGGGUCCUUCACUCCUGAGCCAUUCUGCUUCCCAGUAAGGAAGUAAGCCUUUUCAAUCUCCAGGGCAUGGAGAAUGGCAUCUUCUCUGCGAAUGUACUUCCCUGUACUGGUUGAACUUUUCUUUGAACGGAUUGCAAAAGCCAUGGCCUUCUGAAUGCACUCAUCAAACUCCCCACAACGAAAUGCUUUGACACGAGUUGAUUUUGCAAGAUUAUACCAGUCCCUGAUUGCAAGUUGAUUAUUAGCAAACUUAAGCUUAUACUGACUGCAUGGUACUUAAACCAUGAAAUAGAAAGGUGAACAGAUAUAGCAUAUGUGCAUAUAGCUACUUUGCUCAGAUUUUGUAACCGCAUAAUUCAAGAUACAGAAAAUCAUGCACCAAACAUAAAUAAACGAAAGAAGGCACAAUCAGUAUCAUUGUUGUUGCCAUGUUCCUUGUUAUUUUCCAAGAUGUCACUGAGCAACUUAGGUUGGCCUUGAUGCACAACUGUUAAGUCAAUAAGGCUCCAUGGAAGGUUUGAGUUGCCUUUUUUUUAUAGCUCUCUGUCUAAAGUUGACUAAAAAAUUACCAUCAAAUCCCAGCCAAAAUAGAAGUAGUGGCAGCAAAUGAACUCAUUUUACAUCCCUUGUCUUUAAAGCCAGCUGAAACAAUGGUGUGAGGUAGAAUUAAAAAAAAAAAAGACAAUGAUCCAUAUGGUUCAUGUUAACAGAAUCGGCUACUAAUAAGUGUUCAGUGUUAAAUCUUAUCAUCUGAUCUUCAGUGGAUAUGAGAAUAGAAAAAAAAGAAAAUCUGUAACCAAAUACAAAACAGAACAUCAUUCAAGAUACGAAGAAUAUUCAGGCCACUUAAAAUAGGCAGAAGAAGGGGAUCUACAGAUGAGGAUACUCACAUGCUCCCAUCUUCUCUACCAAGAAGCUUGAUGGGAGUCCCUGAUCUCGGCGGAAGCACACAUUUCGCUGGCAAUUCAUCCCGACCAACAACCCGGCCCGGCCACCAUGACCCGUUAGGGCGACGCACCCACACGAGGCCCCCAGCCGACACAUUGUUGCUGCUCAAAAUCCCAUCUUGUUCACUGCCCAUAGAAAAAGAACUCGAAUCCACCAAAUCAAGAAUCACACGAUGUCGUACUGCUCCACCUACAAAGGGAACCGACGAAGCAAAACAAGAACAAGAAGAAACUGUUAGGUUACUGAACCACUCAUGCAUGGGUUUCUUGAACCAUCAGCCCAAAACUCGUUGGAGAAGGAUUAAAAAUGAAAGAUAAGAAUGGGGGAAUAUACUCCAUUAUGCAUUAGAGGAGGGGGAGAGGGGGUUGGGAGAGAGGGAAAUCCUAGAACAGAUGCUGCUACCUCGAAUAACCAAGAAAACAGAAGAGAUAUGCGAAGUGAACAAGGAAGAAACUUUCAAAGAGCACUAAAAACUCUUCGAUAGAAGAAGAAAGGCAACGAAACAAACCAAAGGAAAUAAAAGAGACGAGCUAUUCUUCGACGGAGAGGAAAGAGGGAAAGGAGGCUCUCCCCGGCAGAGGAGAAACAAGGACCAAAGGGACCAAAAAAACUGAAAAAAGAUGAUUAAAAACGAGAAUAAGAAUCAAGGACGGGGAGAUGAUUUCCAUCUGCACCUCUCCUACCUCUUCUUUCGGGUUCGUCGCUAUAGAAAGCGGCUCGAUCUUGUUUUCUCCAUUACACUUAGUUGCCGGGACAGCUGCGGAAGAGAAGGUUGGUGGGAGCGGAGAUGUCUGCAAUGGCAGAGAAGGGAGGAGAGAGCAGUGUUGGGAUGCGUUUCCUUUAGGAAGAGGUGGAGAGGAGGAGGAGGAGCGACAGACGGCGAAGCGAGUGAGGAAGGAGGGGGCGAGAGAGAGAGAGAGACAGAGAGACAAAAGUGCGAGCAGGAAGCAGCGCAUCCGGCGCAGGGAUUAGUACGAGUUGGGCUUUGGCCCGGCCAAAUGGGACUCGGUGCUGGUAUCUUCAGGACUCGAGUGACGCAGGAAGACGAAAGAACGACAUCGGCGGACACACAUGGCGACGAGCUGCUCAUCACCGAUGAUCCCGUUCUUAAUCCAACUGUGCCUACCGUUCACAUACCAAUUAUUCAUAAACAAACGACAAAGAUCUUAACAGCCGUCAAAGAAAAAUAGGGUUUCGACUCUCAUUUCGUUUAGAUAUUAGUUUUCAGAGAAAGAACAAAAAAAAAAAAAAAGAAGCCAUCUGUAGCCGAUCUCACUGUCAUAAUGUUUUAUUAUUAUUAUUUUUUUUCUUCUAUCAAAAUUUCAUUUGAUUUUAUUAUUUUAAAUUGAUCAACGAAACGGUCCGACCAUAACCUUUCAUUUCAUGGUCAGGACAUACAUAUAUAUUCAGUAAUUUAACGUCCAAAACUUGAGCAGCAACCAUGAACACAUCUAAAUUCCAAGAUGAUACAAGGAAAAGCAACAACCAUGAACACAUCAAGAGUUUCAACACAAUGUUGUUUACCAAUAUCGCAUCAAUACCAAUCCCAAAUAUUUAAACCUCAUCUUUAUGCAUGUUUUCGCUGAACCCAUAAGUACUUCGUCACGCCUCAAGUGCUUCAAAACAAAGAUAAAAGGAUUCCUCGCAGGAGCAAUGUCGCCAAUAAUAUAUGAUCAAAGAAAUGAGAGCGUAUCAUGUAUAAAACGCAAAUAUCACUCGAUCAACUCGUAAAAAUGGCACCAAAAAGGAGAAAGUAGCACAUUUGUGGAAGCUAUUUACCAAACAAUAACCAGGAUAUUUUAGGUCCCGUAACAAAUAAAAGUCAUCUGUACUCCAGAUUUAACAGUACAAGUCCUCUUGAUCUUUUUCUGUGUUCCACAUGUCAAACCACUCUGGCUUUAUACACGCAGAUGUAUGCCAUGUGCCAAUCACCUGCCAGAAAUGUUCAACUUCGUUUGAGCAAAAGUCCAACAACAACAAAAAAGUUCAAUAAUUCUCUCUUUUAAGUGUCUUACCACCGCCAGAUAGUUUUGUAAUAUCUUCUUCCCUUUGUGGGAUUGGAUUGUCAUCAUCAUAUUGAAUCCAUUUUCCUGCAUCAUCAGCAGUUUUCACGAUAAGAAACGAAAUGAAUGACAAAGGGCAAGCAAAGGAAUAUCUAAGCCUAUUAGACAGACCAUUUUCUUGUUUCACCCAGGCAACGUAGUGCCCAGAGUCAGCACUCCUUCCCUUGUGAGUAAGCACAGCUACCAAAUCAUAAAUUCCAGUUAACUGCCCCUUAUCUUCAGAAGAUACAGCUGUCGACAUCAGAGCAAAGAAAAUAAGCGACUUUGAUCUAAAUUGGUAGGUAUCAUCCCCUGUAAUUUCAUAGUUCAUAUAAAAGUCAGGCAUCUUGUGAAUUUAUCGAUUGGUGGUGUUUACUUAUGUAAUGAUUCAUGAAUCUGUAAGUUAUCAAGUUCCUUAACCUGGACGAACAAACUAUGCUUAUUGCUGUGUAACAUGGAGGAGAUAUUAGGGGUAUCAUCCUCAGAUGGAGCCAUGACCUGUGGAGUCUUUUAAUUAGUCUUCCCAUGGUUUAAACAUGAGGAAACAGCAAAGAACAAACAAAUGCAUGCAAAGCAUUUCCCCCCUUCCCUUCCUUUUUAAUGUUCUAUGUAAAUUUAGCUGCAUCGUUUCAAUGUUCUGUGUAAAUUUGGCAGCACUCUGUCUAGUUUUUUUCGAGAGAAGCAAUACUGAUAAGCACCUCUCAUAAAUGAAAGGACAGAAAAUUGAAAGAGAAUAAAAAUAAAAAGUAUGGAGGUUGGGUAGGGAAAACAAAUGGAAUUUAUAACAUGCAUUACAAUAAUGAAAAGAAAUCUAGGAAACCAACAACAUGAUAACUUGUUGGUUGCCAAUCCUUCAUACGCAAGGGUCUUGUAUACACAGAUGCAUUAGGGUGCAGGUGUAGAUAAUAAGCGGAUGAGCUAUGAUCCACAUCAGUGAGCACCAGACAUGAUCUUUGUUCAGUAGAAAGAGGAUCCAUGGUGAAAACCAUAAAGAAGUUUCUCAACUUGUGUUCGGAAAAAAGAUACCAUAGGACACCCAGUAUUUUGCAAUACUUCUCAACUCUAAAGAAGUAUGCACUGAAAGUUCUUAAUUUUGCAAUACCACAAAAGACGCCCAGUAUGUUCAUCCCGACCACAAAAUUGUCAUAAACACACAUCCCACACCCCCACCCAAAAAAAUGAAAAAUUGAUGCACCUAAUGAACCAACACAAAUCAUGAUUCCAAUACACCCAUAUAUCCAUCUGAACACAGUAUGUGGUGUGCUAUGUAUAUGAGAUUUCACUAAAGUUUGAUGAUGCUGAAUUCAGACACCAUAAUAUUGAUUGGAAAGAAGGGGAUCGUAAAAGAACCAAACCUGAAAUGCAGUUAGACCACUAAAUGGGCCAAACUAAGGACAGAAUCAUACAUGUCAGGCCCAAGUCAGAUGCAGGUCAGCCUGUACCAAAAACCCUAACCCUACCCUUGGUCAUCAGAGAAAGGAAGAAUACAAGUUCAUCUGAUGAACUUCGGAGGCAAAUGAUAUGUCAACAAUUAUAAGCAUUUGAGAUAGUCAUGAAGGAUGUUAUCAAUCAUAAAUAGGGCUUAAAUUGUUGACAAUGAAAUGCGUUGAGAAGCAUGAUUAAGAUGGCAAUUGGGAAAUACAGAAAACACAAGAAACAUCAUACUAUUAUAAAUUAAUGCCUUCGAGCUGCAAGCAAAUAAUUGGGAUGCAAGACCACUGUGAUGGAGAGUGAUAUCCGACUACACGACCUUUUGUUAAACUCUACAUGGACCUUCAUACAUCAACAAUAACUAUCAAUUACCUUUGUCAAGAGCCAUGCUAGAUGGUUCACUACUAUCAUUAGAUGACCCCUGCAGAACAUUCAAGAAAACAAAGAAAAAGAGAAUAGAGUUAAGCAAGUGAAGCAAGUGAAGCAACUUAUUCUAGCACAUAUUUACAAUAAACCAGCCUCUUCAUAAAUAUUUGUGAUGCUAAAAUGACUUCUUGACACUGUGUCACUUCUCAGAAGGCCUUAGCAUUACUACCUAAAUGCUGCUAUGAUUACUAUUUUGCAAUCUAUAAGGUGGGUACCAUAUCCAAUUUUAGUAUCAGUUGAGAAGCUGCUAAGCCUAAUUAGCACCUUGUUACCGCUUGUCCGAUCCAACUCAGUGAGUUCAAUGACAAUAGAUUCCAACCUUUAUACUUACUAUUCAAUACCAAAAGAACUGCAGGUCUAAUCAACAAUAUAUAUGCAAUUUAUAUAUGUUCAAUGAUUAUUGGGCUCACCUAAUCAUUGAUUUACAUACCAAAAGAAAGAGGGCUGUCUUGAUUUACAUACCUCUGAUGUAGGCAUGUUGACUUCAUGUUCCUUCUUCUUGUCUUCUACUUUUAAUCCAAGCUUGACAUUUUCUAACUCUCGUAGUGUCUUAUCCAUGUCAAUUGAGCAAAUCACGGGUAAAUUAUAAGAAUAUCAGUAAAAUAUUGUAAUUUUCCGUCAAACUAAAGGGCACAAAAGAAAGGUGGGCAAAACCUGACGAGGAGUCUGAAGCUUUUGACGAAGUUCAUCUGAACAGAACUCAUAAACAUCAAGUUCCAAAGGAUAAUCCACUUUCUGAAAAAAAAAAAGGGAAACAAAAUAAGCUUCCAUGUCCAUGGCAAGGACCACUGAAACUCUUGAUAGUUAUUGCCAGAUUCAAAUCAUUUAACAAACAUACACAAAAGAAAAAAGAAUAUCACAUGAAUUCACCUAUAAAAUUUACAAAGGAAAGCGGCACUCCAAAGAUACACGAUAAAGUAUAAAACUAACAUACCCGCAAUAUUUUUGCCUUCUGGUUAGACUCCCUUUUCCAGAAGAAACGAACAAACUGAACAGUCAGAUACCUGAGAAGGAAAUCAAAUAAGAACCAUCUUCAAAACAAUGAACAAUCAAGUCCCGGAGAAGGAAAUCAAAUAAAUAACCAUUUCGAGAAAAAAUAUUAAAACUAUUUUUAGAAGAAAAAAACCACUUUAAAAUUUUAUAAAAGAAACAAAAAAAGUGAAAAAACUAGACUUGCCUGGGCAAUUCACUAAUGCAUGAUUCUUUUGAAAAAACUGCACUGCGUCCCAAAGAAGUAGACAUCUUCUCUAGUUCUGACUUUAGGCCCUGAAGUGAACAAAAAGCACUGUGAACAUCAGAUAAUGAACAUCCAACACAAACAUAGACACAUAGACACCUAACUAAUAUAUAUUCUAGAAUUUGGCUUUUAUUUGGUAUAGCUAUAAAAUAUUUUAUAUAAAUUUCCAAAAAAGCUUAUGACUAAUGACACUUACACGUCUGAGCCCCUCAUGCAAGUGGUUGAUAUCCUGCGAGAUAUGGCAUUUUAGUGCAUAAACCGAUUCAUUCUCAAAGCUUUCUUCACUGCUUUCUGCACAAUAGACCCUGGAAUAGAUAAUAAAAUGUCAAACAAUUCGUCAUCAAAAUCCAGUGAAAUAAGCAGAUAAUAACCAAAAUGGCAUUUUAAUUUAAAGAUGGAUGUUCCACACCAAACCCCACAUGAGUGGGAAAGGUGCAUUCGACCGUCCAUUUGUUGCACAUCCAAGUUCAAUAUCAUGAGAACAACAGAAAAGAAAUAUUUUGGAAAACAAAACACCUCAGACACAAAGUCCAACUCAAGAUUGCUUUGUUAACUAUCUUCUUUUAUUUAAUAUGUUGCAUAAAACAUAUACAAGGAUGCACUGGUACAAAUAUUAUUCUACCCAGGAUUUGCCACCCAAGUAAUGCCCUCAUAUCUCUUCCUUGUUGGCAUGAUGCAUCCCGUAUAUCAUGUCCUGGGCUGGCAUGUUAGUCAUCUGUUUCUGCCAACAGUCAGUGGAUAACAUUUUGGUAAAUCCAGCUUUAGAAGAUGAAUUUUCAUAAACUAAUGGGUUCUAAUUUGUUUUAUUCUAAUGUACAAAAGUUUUAGACCUUGCACGCUUAUGUCAAAAUGUAAGAAUUCAUUAACAAUUUUGAUUUUCAGGUUUGAAUAAUUAACAAAAAAACAAUACCUACCAGAUAAUCUCAAUUAGUUCAUGAUAUUCUUCAGUAAAAUGUAUUUAAUUUUUGAUAAAUGGACAAUUUAAUAAACCUAAGUCUUGAAACUCAAACAUCAUUUAAAGUUGUUGUAAAUCAAGCAAUGAAGCAAGAUUAAAUUUUCUAUCAAUGAAAAACAGAAUUAUGGAUCAACCAUUUAGUUUGUUUUUCCUAUGGCAAGGACCAAGAUUAGCAGGAUUGCAAGUGAAUCUAGAAGACACCAUUUGAUAUGACACAAAGCCUAUUAGGAACCCUUGCUACAAUCAACAUUUUUAUUUCACAAUUGCUUCAUUAUUUAUAAAUUUAGUUUAAUUUUUCAAUAAUAUUAAACACUCUUAUAUGCAAGGUAUGCAAUAUCAUACCGUACCGGUGUUUCAAGGUUGGCUCGAUACAGUACGGUACCGGCAUACCGAGCUGUACAUCAUGGCAUACCGAGCAGUACAUCAGGACUUACCGAGCGAUUUCCUCUUACUAUAUCACUGUAGCAUUGCUACAGUGUAGCACUGUAGCACUGCUACAGUGUAGCACGGUCUGUCCGGUAACGGGCGAUCCGCGUACCGGUAUACUGUCGGACCGGUACGUACCACCCGUAUCGAACAGUACCAUUCAAAAUUACAUACCAUGCUUAUAUGUGCUUGCAUGGAUAAAACAUAUUUGUUCAAAGCUUAUUUUAUAAUUUUUUCAGCAAGGAAACAAAGAUUUGAAAGCAUCUUUCACCACAAAAGAAGUGAGUUAUGAUAAAAAACAGAAUGUAGAAUUCACCUUUCAUUUUGAAAUUACAUAAUUUUUCUUGAAAUUCAUAUUCAUUAAUAUAAGAGGCUUCUUUUUCUAUCCUCUAAAGGAAACUAGACAACAAGUUACUGAAGACACCUUAUUUAGACAACACAAUUUAUGAAAAAACAUGAGCUGUUCAUUGAAACGUACAACUGUACAUGUGAAAAAUCAUGCAUAUGUUGUUGGAUCAGCAAAGUAAUAUCUAGCAAUGGGGUUAUUUGUGAAACAAAAAAAGUCCCAUGCUAACCCAUCAAGACUGUAAUUAACUUCUAUUCAUUUUAACCACAAUAACAAUAUCAUAGUAGGUUUGGUACAUGCAUGGACUAGACCAAUCCAAACUUAAACCCAUCAGAAAUUUUCAAGGGGCUUGAAAUGAGCUUUUAUGAGCAUGGUUCAGAGUGCGGUAGGGAUCCUCUAACUUCACUUAAAUGUUAAGACUCGAAUGAGAAGUACAUCCCAGUUACAUUGACAAACACCCAGUCAAAUGCAACCAAGAUUGAUAUUUUUUAUCCAUAAUUGGUUGGAUGAUGUUGAGAUGGUAGUUUGACCAAGUAAAAGGGUUGGUUGCUGAUGGAAAGAGCAAUUUUAGUUUAGAACCAGUCAAGGUGGUGGGUUCUGACUGUAUAAUAAAUCAGGUGAGUAAAAAGCAAUUUUCAAUAAGAAUAUGGAUUUAUCUCAUGCUCCUGUUUUGAAUAAACAGACCUGGUGUAUAUAAUAGCUGAUAUCCAAUAGCUUUAGCAUUGUUAUGACGAAAUCAACCCCUUAGGUGGAAACUGUCACGGCUUAAUUAGUCCCACACAGAGUAUGGAUGGUGGGAUGGGCAUUGGGUUGAUCUAAAAUCCUUAAUAGGCUUACAGCUACUAACUUGGGGAUAUAUAUUUUGGCCACCUGAUUUAGGACAUGUACAUCCAGGUUAUUAGUCAUAUGUACCUAUCAACAUAGCCUCUUAACUUUAGCCUCCAUAAACCUUAUCCCUAAUCUGGCAAAAAGAUCAACGUGCACCCUCCCAACCCCUGAAAAUCUAAUAUCUGCCAGUGAGCUUUCCAUCUCCGGCUCCUCCAUGAUGCAUGCUUUACCUCAACUUACUAGUUUUCCCAGGUAGCCUUCAUCCCUACCCCUCCCUGUCAUGUUCUCUGUCUCUUUAUUCUCACUCCCAUCCACUUCCCCUCAAUGAAACCAAUACUAGAGUCCGAGGCAUGUCAAUAUAUAUCCAUGGACAGCAUAUGACAAAAUCUAUUAUAACUUUUGCCUCAUUCCAUUGACAAAUUAAAGCUAGUUUUUUUUUAAAA